UUCGGACCGGGAUAACGCUGCCAACGCGGUGCUAAUACCGGAUAUUAUUCAGCUGCAGCAUUGUGGCAGAAUGAAAGGCUUCGGCCGCCAAAGGAUGAGCUCGCGUCCCAUUAGCUAGUUGGCGGGGUAACGGCCCACCAAGGCUUCUAUGGGUAGCCGAUCUGAGAGGAUGGUCGGCCACAUUGGGACUGAGAUACGGCCCAGACUCCUACGGGAGGCAGCAGUAGGGAAUUUUGCGCAAUGGACGAAAGUCUGACGCAGCAACGCCGCGUGGAGGAUGACGUUUUUCGGAAUGUAAACUCCUGUUGAGAGGGAAGAAAAGCCGAUUGGUCGGCCUGACGGUACCUCUCGAGAAAGCCCCGGCCAACUUCGUGCCAGCAGCCGCGGUAAUACGAGGGGGGCAAGUGUUGUUCGGAUUUACUGGGUGUAAAGGGAGCGCAGGCGGGAAAGCAAGUCAGAGGUGAAAUCCCCAUGCUUAACGUGGGUGCUGCCUUUGAUACUACUUUUCUUGAGUGUUGGAGAGGGUAACGGAAUUCCAGGUGUAGCGGUGGAAUGCGUAGAUAUCUGGAAGAACACCAGUUGCGAAGGCGGUUACCUGGCCAAAUACUGACGCUCAUGCUCGAAAGCAGGGGGAGCAAACAGGAUUAGAUACCCUGGUAGUCCCUGCCCUAAACGAUGGACACUAGGUGUUGGAGGAGUUAAUCCCUCCGGCGCCGCAGCUAACGCAUUAAGUGUCCCACCUGGGGAGUACGGUCGCAAGGCUGAAACUCAAAGAAAUUGACGGGGGCCCGCACAAGCGGUGGAGUAUGUGGUUCAAUUCGACGCAACGCGAAGAACCUUACCUGGGCUUGACAUGAGGUGGACCAUUCCCAGAGAUGGGAACUUCUGUAGCAAUACAGACUGCCUACACAGGUGCUGCAUGGCUGUCGUCAGCUCGUGUCGUGAGAUAUUGGGUUAAGUCCCGCAACGAGCGCAACCCCUGUUCUUAGUUGCCAUCGGGUCAUGCCGGGCACUCUAAGGAGACCGCCUCGAAUAACGGGGAGGAAGGUGGGGAUGACGUCAAGUCAUCAUGGCCCUUACGUCCAGGGCUACACACGUACUACAAUGGCAGGCACAAAGGGUCGCAAAGCCGCGAGGUGAAGCCAAUCCCAAAAAUCCUGCCUCAGUUCAGAUUGCAGUCUGCAACUCGACUGCAUGAAGUUGGAAUCGCUAGUAAUCGCGGAUCAGCGUGCCGCGGUGAAUCCGUUCCCGGGCCUUGUACACACCGCCCGUCAAGCCAUGGAAGUCGGAAGUACCCAAAGUCGUUUGUUUAACCGCAAGGAGAGCAACGCCUAAGGUAAAGCCGAUGACUGGGGCUAAGUCGUAACAAGGUA
rnacentral:rRNA from 1 species